AUUGAACGCUGGCGGCAUGCCUUACACAUGCAAGUCGAACGGCAGCGCGGACUUCGGUCUGGCGGCGAGUGGCGAACGGGUGAGUAAUGUAUCGGAACGUACCUUUCAGUGGGGGAUAACGUAGCGAAAGUUACGCUAAUACCGCAUAUUCUGUUAGCAGGAAAGCCGGGGAUCGCAAGACCUUACGCUGAUUUAGCGGCGGAUACCACAUUAGCUAGUUGGUGAGGUAAAGGCUCACCAAGGCGACGAUCGGGAGCGGGGCUGAGAGGAUGAUCCGCCACACUGGACUGAGACACGGCCCAGACUCCUACGGGAGGCAGCAGGGGGGAAUUUUGGACAAUGGGGGCAACCCUGAUCCAGCCAUGCCGCGUGAGUGAAGAAGGCCUUCGGGUUGUAAAGCUCUUUCAGCUGGAAAAAAAUCGCAUCACCUAAUACGUGGUGUGGAUGAUGGUACCAGCAGAAGAAGCACCGGCUAACUACGUGCCAGCCGCCGCCGUAACAC
rnacentral:rRNA from 1 species